CUUGGAGUAAAAAUUGAAAAAGAAAAAAAGACUCGAGACUGAGCCCCAGUUAAGUGGAUGCGGGUGGACACAACCGUACGUGUCAUAUCCAGGAGGUGUGUUUCAGGGACCUGAUCCACAUGUAUGAUUCCAUGUAGCACAGAUCACGACACUGCUGUGGGGCUUAAGGUUUUUUGACGUCCUCUCAUAUCUUAUUUGAGCCUCAAAACCACCUGAGUUGUGGCGAUGUUGGGGACUUCCCUGGUGGCGCAGUGGUUAAGAAUCCACCUGUCAAUGCAGGGGACACGGGUUCGAUCCCUGGUCCAGGAAGAUCCCACAUGCCACAGAGCAAGUAAGCCCGUGUGCCACAACUACUGAGCCUGCGCUCUAGAGCCCGCGAGCCACAACUACUGAGCCCGUGUGCCACAACUACUGAAGCCCGUGCGCCUAGAGCCUGUGCUCCACAAGAGAAGCGACCACAAUGAGAAGCUCGCGCACCGCAACAAAGAGUAGCCCCCACUCGCCGCAACUAGAGAAAGCCUGCGUGCAGCAACGAAGACCCA